rnacentral:tRNA from 1 species
GUGGGUAUAGCGCAGUCGGUUAGCGCGCCAGAUUGUGGCUCUGGAGGCCCAGGGUUCGAAUCCCUGUAUCCACC